rnacentral:rRNA from 1 species
UACGUAGGGUGCAAGCGUUAAUCGGAAUUACUGGGCGUAAAGCGUGCGCAGGCGGCUUUGCAAGACAGAUGUGAAAUCCCCGGGCUCAACCUGGGAACUGCAUUUGUGACUGCAAGGCUAGAGUACGGUAGAGGGGGAUGGAAUUCCGCGUGUAGCAGUGAAAUGCGUAGGUAUGCGGAGGAACACCGAUGGCGAAGGCAAUCCCCUGGACCUGUACUGACGCUCAUGCACGAAAGCGUGGGGAGCAAACAGG